ensembl:lncRNA
CUUUCACUCAACUGAUGGAAGUUUGGGCUUGUCUUGGAAGGUGAUUUCUAAAAGGAGAAAGCAUCUACUCUGAGCAGAGUCUGAGUUGUUGUUAUAUGAGAAUCUGAGGCUGUGUUUCAUUUCAUUUAAAAAUUACAAAGGAUGUGAAAUGUGGCACAAGAAGAAAACGAAUCUGCUGCUCCACCCUAAAAUUAUUCCCCAAACUGAGAUUCAUAGUGUUGAAUAAAAAGUUUCUCAGGCUCCAGUCAGGGAGCAUCACGUUGGACUCCAUCUUGGAUUAACAGUGCAGAAUUCUUGGAGUUUUGACUCAAACCUGCGGAAUCAAUCUUUGGACUUGGCUAUAAAUAUACAAUUAUACUUAUCAUGGAAGAAAAGAUCCAAUUUACAAUAGCAACCAUAAUGAUGAAAUAUUUAGUGGCAAACUUCUCAAGAUAUGUGGAGGAUAUAAAUAUAAAAGAUGUUAAAAUUCUACUGUCGCAUAUAAAAGAAACCUUGGAUGAAUAGCUAGAUGAUCUUUGUUCUUAGAGAAGAUGGCUCAAUUUUGGAACAACGUCAGUUCCUUAGAUUUAGCCAGAAAUUGAUGCAAUCCCAAUUAUAUAACCAACAGAAAAUUAUGGGGGAAUUUGAGAAAAUGAUGCUGAAGUAUAUAAAAAAAUGAAUGCAUAAGAAUUGCCAGGAAAAGUGGGAAAUGGAGACUAGUGAGGGGAAAUUUGCUUUACAGAGCAGAGAUUUAAAAAUAGAAACACCUACUAAACACUGGAAGAGAAUGUAGAUUUAAAAAAAAUUCUUGGUUUGGGAGCCUUUUCUUUUCUUUAGCAGACUGUCUUUUCAAACAUUUUUUUCUUUCUUUCUUUCUGGCUGUGCUGGGUCUUUGUUGCUGGAUACAGGCUUUCUCUAGUCACAGUGAGUGGGAGCUACUCUCUUGUUUUGGUGUGCAGGCUUCUCAUUGUGGUGUCUUCUAUUGUUACAAAGCACUAGCUCUUGGGUUCUUGGGCUUCAGUAGUUGCAACAUGUAUGUUCAGCAUUUGUGAU